rnacentral:rRNA from 1 species
UAGAGUUUGAUCCUGGCUCAGAUUGAACCCUGGCGGUAUGCUUAACACAUGCAAGUCGAACGGAAACGAUGGUAGCUUGCUACCAGGCGUCAAGUGGCGGACGGGGGAGUAACGCGUAGGAAUCUGCCCAAUGGCGGGGGAUAGCCCGGAGAAAUUCGGAUUAAUACCGCAUAAUCUCUACGGAGAAAAGGAGGCCUCUUCUUGAAAGCUUUCGCUAUUGGAUGAGCCUGCGUGAGAUUAGCUAGUUGGUGAGGUAAAGGCUCACCAAGGCGACGAUCUCUAGCUGGUCUGAGAGGACGAUCAGCCACACUGGGACUGAGACACGGCCCAGACUCCUACGGGAGGCAGCAGUGGGGAAUAUUGGACAACGGAGGAAACUCUGAACCAGCCAUCCCGCGUGCAGGAUGACGCAUUUCGGUGUGUAAACUCCUUUUAUGAGUCAGAGUCUUGACGUAACCUAAAGAAGAAGCACCGGCUAACUCCGUGCCAGCAGCCGCGGUAAUACGGAGGGUGCGAGCGUUAUCCGGAUUCAUUGGGUUUAAAGGGUGCGCAGGCGGACUUUUUAGUCAGUGGUGAAAUCCCGGGGCUCAACCCCGGAACUGCCAUUGAUACUGGAAGUCUUGAGUUUGGUUGAAGUGGGCGGAAUGUAGCAUGUAGCGGUGAAAUGCUUAGAUAUGCUACAGAACACCGAUCGCGAAGGCAGCUCACUAAACCAACACUGACGCUCAGGCACGAAAGCGUGGGGAGCGAACAGGAUUAGAUACCCUGGUAGUCCACGCCGUAAACUAUGAUCACUCGUUGUUGGCGAUACACUGUCAGUGACUAAGCGAAAGCGAUAAGUGAUCCACCUGGGGAGUUACGCUCGCAAGAGUGAAACUCAAAGGAAUUGACGGGGGCCCGCACAAGAGGAGGAGCAUGUGGUUUAAUUCGAUGAUACGCGAGGAACCUUACCUGGGCUCAAAUGUAAGAUGACAACCCCUGAAAGGGGGCUUUCUUCGGACAUUUUGCAAGGUGCUGCAUGGUUGUCGUCAGCUCGUGCCGUGAGGUGUCGGGUUAAGUCCCAUAACGAGCGCAACCCCUACUCUUAGUUGCCAGCAUGUUAUGAUGGGGACUCUAAGAGAACUGCCUACGCAAGUAGAGAGGAAGGUGGGGAUGACGUCAAAUCAGCACGGCCCUUACGUCCAGGGCUACACACGUGCUACAAUGGCCGGUACAGAGGGCAGCCACCACGCGAGUGGGAGCAAAUCUCCAAAGCCGGUCUCAGUUCGGAUCGAAGUCUGCAACCCGACUUCGUGAAGCUGGAAUCGCUAGUAAUCGCGCAUCAGCCAUGGCGCGGUGAAUACGUUCCCGGGCCUUGUACACACCGCCCGUCAAGCCAUGGAAGCUGGGGGUACCUGAAGUCGGUAACCGUAAAGGAGCCGCCUAGGGUAAAACUAGUAACUAGGGCUAAGUCGUAACAAGGUAACCA